rnacentral:snoRNA from 1 species
ACAUUCAUGAUGAAAACAAUUACCGUUUGAUUUUAACAUGAAAAAUCUUCAUGGCUGCAUUUUAUAAAUGUAUCUGAUUU